rnacentral:miRNA from 1 species
UUUGUAGUAUUAAAUAUGUCCCAAGCAAUAUUUGGGGCAUACUUAAAUUGAAA